UGAUUUUGUGGCAAUGUUGAUUGUGAUUGUCCUAUACAGUGAUUACUAUAGUUUGAAUUGAUGGAAAUCCAACACACAUCAACAUGCCCAACUAUACCCUAAUUUGGACGUACAUCUGCUCAGAGACUCAGAUCAAUAAUGGUUGUAUCCACCAUUGCUCUUUAUUAAAACUUUAUAUUUUCACCAAAUUAACAAAUCUUGGCUUGCCAUAUAAAUCCAGCUAGAUCAAGAUGCACGCUACAGCAUUCAAACCAGUUAAGGUCCCAAUAUUUGUAGCGUAGCAGCAUGCAUGGUUUUUUGGCCA
rnacentral:lncRNA from 1 species